rnacentral:rRNA from 1 species
UACGUAGGGGGCGAGCGUUGUCCGGAUUUAUUGGGCGUAAAGAGCUCGUAGGCGGCUCGUCGCGUCGACCGUGAAAACCCGCGGCUUAACUGCGGGCUUGCGGUUGAUACGGGCGGGCUAGAGUUCGGUAGGGGAGACUGGAAUUCCUGGUGUAGCGGUGAAAUGCGCAGAUAUCAGGAGGAACACCGGUGGCGAAGGCGGGUCUCUGGGCCUGACCUGACGCUGAGGAGCGAAAGCGUGGGGAGCGAACAGG